CCUUUUCCCCAUCGCCUAGAGUGGCAGCCGGAUGUUCUCCCUAGCCAGUGUACUUCCGGUUACGGUUGUCGGGCCUUCACGGAGGGGGAAGCUGAGGGAUUUCUUCAGAGUCGGAGAUGCAAAGGAAGACGGGGCGUGGCCAGCAGGGAGGCCGAGAAACAUAAAAGUUGGCCUUCGAUCCGCUUUCUCACGCCUUGGGUGUAGCGAAGCGAGAGGGGGGUAUCUUUAUCCCGGUGCGCAGUUCUCCAGCUUAAUAAUAAGUUAAGGGGUCUGGUGCCUUCAAAAGUGGCUAAAGGGAGUGAUGCCUUCUUGGUCUUGUUGUUGUUGUUAUGUGCCUUCAAGUCGAUUACGACUUAUGGCGACCCUAUGAGUCAGCGACCUCCAAGAGCAUCUGUCAUGAACCACCCUGUCCAGAUCUUGUAAGUUCAGGCAUGCUAUGGACCACCUGAAUGAAACUCACAGACCAUUGGUGAUCCACAGACCACAGUUUGCAAACCCCUGGUUUAUUGCAUCAGUUCCAUCUAGUCACAUGUCUUGUGAAUUUGAAUACAACAUCCUGAGAACCAAAGCUUUAGAAAACACAUACAGAUGUUUCUUCCUUUUACAACUGCAGAAAUCGGCUUGAAAACAUUUUGCUCUUCUUCCUGAAAUCCGAGAUAUCCAAACACAUGCUGAGCAAGGAGGUACCAUGAGUGCCAUCAUGUGGUAUAAAAAAGUAGAAUAUUAAGUUACAUGCAAGUGAAGUUGCUGAUCCAUGAAGAAACAAUGGUGGAAUUAAUUUCCGGAGGGGUUGCCAUGUUCCUGUCUGUUGCAGCAAAACCAAAAAGCGGCGCCCAGAGUGACCUACCAAUGUCAAGGAUGAGGCAGCCCCUGCUCUCGGAGGUGGCGACUGCAAUCCAAACCCUCUUUGCACAAAGAUUGGGUGGAGGGUUGGAUAGGCGGAGGUGUCUGCCAGCAUGAAGGUCCAAAUUCCACACGCCAAAUGUGCGGGUGGGUUAAAGUGCCACCAGUGGGAUUCUGCCAGCUACAGCUCACAGAAAGACCUGAAACAGGAAUCUCAGAACUGGCCCAGGAUUUGCUGGAUUCCAGGCUGGCCCGGACGCUGGCACAUGAUAGCAUCGGACCCAAUAAGGUGCAGCAAUUUGCCUCCACCACUCUUUGCUCUGGCCAGCAUGGGCUGCAUAUGUUGCAGUGGCCCUGCUGCUUCGUUAAACCUUGCUGCUGCCCAUCCAGGGUUUGGAUGUGGCUUUACAGUCUAAAAGACAUGACACAAAAGGGAAAAGGCUUUGUGGAGAUGAGGAAAAAAGAAAACCCAGAAGAAGCAUAAUCAUCCACAAUAUCUGCAUAUCAGAAAGGAGCACUCCGCAUGCAAACUCAACUAUCAUUAAAAAAAUCCUGGAAAAGAUGA